AGCCCUAUCGCCAAGCGGUAAGGCACAGUACUUUGACUGCUGCAUUCGUUGGUCCGAAUCCAACUAGGGCUG
rnacentral:tRNA from 1 species